rnacentral:rRNA from 1 species
UACGGGGGGGUAAGCGUUGUUCGGAAUUACUGGGCGUAAAGGGCUCGUAGGUGGCCAACUAAGUCAGACGUGAAAUCCCUCGGCUUAACCGGGGAACUGCGUCUGAUACUGGAUGGCUUGAGUUUGGGAGAGGGAUGCGGAAUUCCAGGUGUAGCGGUGAAAUGCGUAGAUAUCAAGUGGAACACCAGUGGCGAAGGCGAGUCCCUGGACAACUCCUGACACUGAGGCACGAAAGCUAGGGGAGCAAACAGG